rnacentral:ncRNA from 1 species
UUAAGUAGAGGCGCGGUGAUCAUGAGUCACACAUCCGUAGGUGCUGACAGCCGUUGGAUGGAUGUGUAAAAGGGGAAACCGCCGAAGUUGGUUCGGACGUCAGAACGGAUCUGCUGGGUCUGCAGUGAAGAACUGCAGGACUGUCACCGUAAGGUGGAGUGCUACUUC